GUUGCCGGUAGGGCACAGUAUAGGCAUUGUUAUACAGCACAGUGUAGGUAUAGUUAUAGAGCACAGUAUAGGUAUAUGUAGUUACAGGUAGAGCACAGUAUAGUUAUAGUUAUAGUAACAGGUAUAGUUAU